rnacentral:rRNA from 1 species
AGCGAACGCUGGCGGCAGGCUUAACACAUGCAAGUCGAGCGCGUGUAGCAAUACACGAGCGGCAGACGGGUGAGUAACACGUGGGAACGUGCCUUUUGGUUCGGAAUAACUCAGGGAAACUUGAGCUAAUACCGAAUAAGCCCUUCGGGGAAAGAUUUAUCGCCAAAAGAUCGGCCCGCGUAAGAUUAGCUUGUUGGUGA